AUUAGGGCCCUGUACGGCUUAGAUGUCGUGAAACAUGUCAGGCGGGGAACUGAGCAGCAUUAAGCGAAUUUUCUUUGCGCGAUAUCAGAAAGUCUUGGUUGC
rnacentral:SRP_RNA from 1 species